rnacentral:tRNA from 1 species
GCUGUAGCUCAGUUGGUUAGAGCGCUGCACCGGAAUCGCAGGGCCGUAGGUUCAAUUCCUACCAGAGGACC